CCUACGGGAGGCAGCAGUGGGGAAUAUUGCACAAUGGGGGAAACCCUGAUGCAGCGACGCCGCGUGAGUGAAGAAGUAAUUCGUUAUGUAACGCUCUAUCAGCAGGGAAGAAAAUGACGGUACCUGAGUAAGAAGCACCGGCUAACUACGUGCCAGCAGCCGCGGUAAUACGUAGGGGGCAAGCGUUAUCCGGAUUUACUGGGUGUAACGGGAGCGUAGACGGCAGUGCAAGUCUGGAGUGAAAGGCGGGGGCUCAACCCCCGGACUGCUCUGGAAACUGUACGGCUGGAGUGCAGGAGAGGUAAGUGGAAUUCCUAGUGUAGCGGUGAAAUGCGUAGAUAUUAGGAGGAACACCAGUGGCGAAGGCGGCUUACUGGACUGUAACUGACGUUGAGGCUCGAAAGCGUGGGGAGCAAACAGGAUUAGAUACCCCUGUAGUC
rnacentral:rRNA from 1 species